rnacentral:rRNA from 1 species
UACGUAGGGCGCAAGCGUUAUCCGGAAUUAUUGGGCGUAAAGAGCUCGUAGGCGGUUUGUCGCGUCUGCCGUGAAAGUCCGGGGCUCAACUCCGGAUCUGCGGUGGGUACGGGCAGACUAGAGUGAUGUAGGGGAGACUGGAAUUCCUGGUGUAGCGGUGGAAUGCGCAGAUAUCAGGAGGAACACCGGUGGCGAAGGCGGGUCUCUGGGCAGUAACUGACGCUGAGGAGCGAAAGCAUGGGGAGCGAACAGG